rnacentral:lncRNA from 1 species
UCUUGGGCAAGACCCAGAAGCAAGCAACCAACAUCAAGAGCCCAGUGCCCCUCCCAGCAUGGCCAACUGACUGGUAACCCUGGGCCUGUGCUAAUACAGUGGCCACCAGCAGCAUGUGGCUCUCGAGCACUUGCGCGGAGGAUCUUUGUUUCUGUUUUACAGCUCUGUCCGGGAGCUUGUCUUCACUGCACAGUUGAAGCUUCAUCAUCUCCUGGGGAUCCCUUCUCCUCCAGUGUCGCCCCCUUUCCUGGCUCAGAUCGCCUCCCCAGUUUCACUUCUUCAUCUUACUAGGAGGC